rnacentral:snoRNA from 1 species
AAGACUAUACUUUCAGGGAUCAUUUCUGUAGUUGGUUACUAGAGAGGUUUCUCUGAUUGGGUAGAGUACCAAUUCUUCUAUUUAUCCUUGAGGG